rnacentral:rRNA from 1 species
CCCGACUGCUAUUUGGGUGAGGAUAAGCCAUGCGAGUUGAAUGGGAAACCUAAAAAUCCCAUGGCAAACUGCUCAGUAACACGUGAUCAACUUACCCUAUAGAGGAAAAUAACCUCGGGAAACUGAGGAUAAUGUUCCAUAGUUGAAUCGGCUUGGAAAAGUUUUUCAAUAAAAGGGAUAAGGAAAAUGGUCCUUAUCUGCUAUAGGAUAGGAUCGUGCUCGAUUAUGGUUGUUGGUGAGGUAAAGGCUCACCAAGCCGAUAAUCGAUAGGGGCCGUGAGAGCGGGAGCCCCGAGAUGGGUACUGAGACAACGACCCAGGCCUUGUGAGGCGCAGCAGGCGCGAAACCUCCGCAAUACACGAAAGUGUGACGGGGUUACCCAAAGUGUUCAAUAGAACUGUGGUAGGUGAGUAAUGUCCCCUACUAGAAAGGAGAGGGCAAGGCUGGUGCCAGCCGCCGCGGUAAAACCAGCUCUUCAAGUGGUCGGGAUAAUUAUUGGGCUUAAAGUGUCCGUAGCCGGUUUAGUAAGUUCCUGGUAAAAUCGGGUAGCUUAACUAUCUAUAUGCUAGGAAUACUGCUAUACUAGAGGGCGGGAGAGGUCUGAGGUACUACAGGGGUAGGGGUGAAAUCUUAUAAUCCUUGUAGGACCACCAGUGGCGAAGGCGUCAGACUGGAACGCGCCUGACGGUGAGGGACGAAAGCCAGGGGAGCGAACCGGAUUAGAUACCCGGGUAGUCCUGGCCGUAAACGAUGCAUACUAGGUGAUGGCACGGCCAUGAGCCGUGUCAGUGCCGUAGGGAAACCGUUAAGUGUGCCGCCUGGGAAGUACGGUCGCAAGGCUAAAAC